GGGGAUCUUCGGACCUCGCGCUAAGAGAGGAGCCUACGUCCGAUUAGCUAGUUGGCGGGGUAAAGGCCCACCAAGGCGACGAUCGGUAGCUGGUCUGAGAGGACGACCAGCCACACUGGGACUGAGACACGGCCCAGACUCCUACGGGAGGCAGCAGUGAGGAAUUUUUCGCAAUGGGGGCAACCCUGACGAAGCAAUGCCGCGUGGAUGAAGAAGGCCUUCGGGUUGUAAAGUCCUUUCGUGGAGGAGGAAAAGGUGGGUU
rnacentral:rRNA from 1 species